rnacentral:rRNA from 1 species
GAUGAACGCUGGCGGCGUGCCUAAUACAUGCAAGUCGAGCGAACGGACGAGAAGCUUGCUUCUCUGAUGUUAGCGGCGGACGGGUGAGUAACACGUGGAUAACCUACCUAUAAGACUGGGAUAACUUCGGGAAACCGUAGCUAAUACCGGAUAAUAUUUUGAACCGCAUGGUUCAAAAGUGAAAGACGGUCUUGCUGUCACUUAUAGAUGGAUCCGCGCUGCAUUAGCUAGUUGGUAAGGUAACGGCUUACCAGGGCAACGAUGCAUAGCCGACCUGAGAGGGUGAUCGGCCACACUGGAACUGAGACACGGUCCAGACUCCUACGGGAGGCAGCAGUAGGGAAUCUUCCGCAAAGGGCGAAAGCCUGACGGAGCAACGCCGCGUGAGUGAUGAAGGUCUUCGGAUCGUAAAACUCUGUGAUUAGGGAAGAACAUAUGUGUAAGUAACUGUGCACAUCUUGACGGUACCUAAUCAGAAAGCCACGGCUAACUACGUG